UAAAAGCAUUAGACUGUAAAUCUAAAGAUAGAGGUUUAAGUCCUCUUUUUGCNA
rnacentral:tRNA from 1 species